ACUAAAACGAGACUUGGAGUAAAACGAGACCUGGACUUACCCGAGACCUGGACUAAACCAAGGCCUGGACUAAACCGAGGCCUGGACUAAACCGAGGCCUGGACUAAACCGAGGCCUGGACUAAACCGAGACCUGGACUUAACCGAGACCUGGACUAAACCAAGGCCUGGACUUACCCGAGACCUGGACUAAACCGAGACCUGGACUUAACCGAGACCUGGACUAAACCAAGGCCUGGACUUACCCGAGACCUGGACUAAACCAAGGCCUGGACUAAAACAAGGCCUGGACUAAACCGAGGCCUGGACUAAACCGAGACCUGGACUUAACCGAGACCUGGACAAAACCAAAACCUGGACUAAACCGAGGGCGCGGACUAAAACGAGAUCUGGGCAGAACUAAAACCUGGACUAAAACGAGACUUGGACUAAAGCAGAGACCUGGACUGAAGUGGGAUUAAUGCAGGUCUGGAUUCAGUCUAACCCGCAGUGCAAAAAUACCUUAGUAUUAUAAAGAAAAUGAUGAAGACCCUGCAAAUCUCCAAAUCUCCUGUUUUAAAUGUUCUAAACUCAGAGCAGGAUCUACGUGAAUGGGUUGAACUGGCACAUAUUUCAAACUCUGGUCUGAGUAAUGUACCAUAUCAUGUUUUCCAUCCGUUUUAUGACCCUCUCAGUUGGACAGCAGCUACUUUGAAAUCUCCACUAUAACUUUAACCAUUUUUCAUGUGAGCGUGACCAGACGUCUUCGCACACGCUGCCAAACCGUGUCAAACUUUAUGGCUCCUGUGUCUUUAGACUCGUGGACGUUUGAGACCAGAUAAUGCAGAUAUAAAGUGGUUAAAAAACAACACGCUAUGGUUAAUUUCACCGCCUGUAUACCUCAGUGUCCACAAACAGAUUGAGUUUCAGACUUUUUGGCAGGCUGCACUUGUUGAAUGUAAAGUCUCGCUGACCCAGAGGCAACAGCAGAGAAUAAUUUGACUGUGCAAAUGAAAAACAGCUACUACACGACACAUGACAGCUGUAUUUAAUCUAAUUUGAAUGUUAUAAGCUCCAGUUUGGCUGCGUCUAACUUCUAUCUAUGAGUUUUGCUGCUCCAAAAACACAUUAAUGCAUUUUUAUUAAUCAGUACUAAAUUAUUAAUAACCAUAUUCUGUUUAUUAUCAUGGUGUACACAUGCGAAAUAUCAGGUUUUAUACUUGUAGCAGAGCAGAGCAGUAGAUGCAACACAUUGACACACUCAGGGUUUCAGUUUCCUGUGACAUUCUGAGGAAAUGAUAAAAUAUGUUUUGUUUUUGAUUGCACAUUUACCAUGGCAACAGUCCAAAUUUAGUUUUGAACAUCCUGAAACACCUGAAACUGUCAGCUUCUGUUUUAAACACUCA
ensembl:lncRNA